rnacentral:rRNA from 1 species
UACAGAGGGUGCAAGCGUUGUCCGGAAUCACUGGGCGUAAAGGGCGCGUAGGCGGCCCGAUAAGUCGGGGGUGAAAUCUUGCGGCUCAACCGCAAGGCUGCCUUCUAGACUGUCGGGCUUGAGCACAGUAGAGGCAGGUGGAAUUCCCGGUGUAGCGGUGGAAUGCGUAGAGAUCGGGAGGAACACCAGUGGCGAAAGCGAGUCCCUGGACAAUUCCUGACACUGAGGCACGAAAGCUAGGGGAGCAAACAGG